CAAGACAGGUGGUGCAUGGUUGUCGUCAGCUCGUGUCGUGAGAUGUUGGGUUAAGUCCCGCAACGAGCGCAACCCUUAUGCUUAGUUGCCAGCACGUGAUGGUGGGCACUCUAAGCAGACUGCCGGUGACAAACCGGAGGAAGGUGGGGAUGACGUCAAAUCAUCAUGCCCCUUAUGACCUGGGCUACACACGUACUACAAUGGUCGGUACAACGGGAAGCAAAGCCGCGAGGUGGAGCCAAUCCUUAAAAGCCGAUCUCAGUUCGGAUUGCAGGCUGCAACUCGCCUGCAUGAAGUCGGAAUUGCUAGUAAUCGCGGAUCAGCAUGCCGCGGUGAAUACGUUCCCGGGUCUUGUACACACCGCCCGUCACACCACGAGAGUUUGCAACACCCGAAGUCGGUGGGGUAACCGCAAGGAGCCAGCCGCCGAAGGUGGGGUAGAUGAUUGGGGUGAAGUCGUAACAAGGUAGCCGUAUCGGAAGGUGCGGCUGGAUCACCUCCUUU
rnacentral:rRNA from 1 species